AGGGUUUGAUCCUGGCUCAGAACGUACGCUGGCGGCACGCCUAACACAUGCAAGUCGAACGCAGUAGCAAUACUGAGUGGCAAACGGGUGAGUAUAAUGUGGGAAUCUGCCUUUUGGUUUGGAAUAACACGGGGAAACUUGUGCUAAUACCGAAUAAGCCUUUACAGGGAAAGUUUUAACGCCGAAAGAUGAGCCCGCACUUGAUUAGCUAGUUGGUAAGGUAAAAGCUUACCAAGGCAAUGAUCAAUAGCUGUUCUUAGAGGAAGACCAGCCACAUUGGGACUGAGACACGGCCCAGACUCCUACGGGAGGCAGCAGUGGGGAAUCUUGCACAAUGGGGGAAACCCUGAUGCAGCGAUGCCGCGUGAGUGAAGAAGGCCUUUGGGUUGUAAAACUCUUUCGUCGGGGAAGAAAAUGACUGUACCCGAAUAAGAAGGUCCGGCUAACUUCGUGCCAGCCGCCGCGGUAAUAC
rnacentral:rRNA from 1 species